rnacentral:rRNA from 1 species
ACUCAAAUGAAUAGACGGGGGCCCGCACAAGCGGUGGAGUAUGUGGUUUAAUUCGAAGCAACGCGCAGAACCUUACCUGGGCUUGACAUCUGGAGACCGGUGCAGAGAUGUACCUUCCCCUUCGGGGGCUCCAAGACAGGUGCUGCAUGGCUGUCGUCAGCUCGUGUCGUAAGAUGUUGGGUUAAGUCCCGCAACGAGCGCAACCCCUGUCUUUAGUUGCCACCAUUAAGUUGGGAACUCUAAAGAGACUGCCGGUGUUAAACCGGAGGAAGGCGGGGAUGACGUCAAGUCCUCAUGGCCCUUAUGUCCAGGGCUACACACGUACUACAAUGGCAGAAACAAACCGUCGCGAAACCGCAAGGUGGAGCUAAUCGGAAAAACACUGUCUCAGUCCGGAUUGAAGUCUGCAACUCGACUUCAUGAAGUUGGAAUCGCUAGUAAUCGCAGAUCAGCACGCUGCGGUGAAUACGUUCCCGGGCCUUGCACACACCGCCCGU